CAGCCGCCGCGGUAAUACGUAGGGUGCGAGCGUUAAUCGGAUUUACUGGGCGUAAAGCGUGCGCAGGCGGCCCGUUAAGACAGGUGUGAAAUCCCUGGGCUCAACCUAGGAAUUGCGCUUGUGACUGGCGGGCUCGAGUACGGUAGAAGGGGGUGGAAUUCCUGGUGUAGCAGUGAAAUGCGUAGAGAUCAGGAGGAACACCGAUGGCGAAGGCAGCCCCCUGGGCCUGUACUGACGCUCAUGCACGAAAGCGUGGGGAGCAAACAGGAUUAGAUACCCUGGUAGUCCACGCCCUAAACGAUGGGUACUAGCCGUUUGGUGCGCGAUAGCGCUGAGUGGCGAAGCUAACGCGUGAAGUACCCCGCCUGGGGAGUACGGCCGCAAGGUUGAAACUUAAAGGAAUUGGCGGG
rnacentral:rRNA from 1 species